UACGUAGGGUGCGAGCGUUAAUCGGAAUUACUGGGCGUAAAGCGCACGUAGGCGGAUUGUUAAGUCAGAGGUGAAAUCCCGGAGCUCAACUUCGGAACUGCCUUUGAUACUGGCAAUCUCGAGUCCGGAAGAGGUUAGUGGAAUUCCCAGUGUAGAGGUGAAAUUCGUAGAUAUUGGGAAGAACACCAGUGGCGAAGGCGGCUAACUGGUCCGGUACUGACGCUGAGGUGCGAAAGCGUGGGGAGCAAACAGG
rnacentral:rRNA from 1 species